AACCUGCCCUUGGGAGGGGAACAACAGCUGGAAACGGCUGCUAAUACCCCAUAGGCUGAGGAGCAAAAGGAGGAAUCCGCCCAAGGAGGGGCUCGCGUCUGAUUAGUUAGUUGGUGAGGCAAUGGCUUACCAAGGCGACGAUCAGUAGCUGGUCCGAGAGGAUGAUCAGCCACACUGGGACUGAGACACGGCCCAGACUCCUACGGGAGGCAGCAGUGGGGAAUUUUCCGCAAUGGGCGAAAGCCUGACGGAGCAAUGCCGCGUGAAGGCAGAAGGCCCACGGGUCAUGAACUUCUUUUCUCGGAGAAGAAAAAAUGACGGUAUCUGAGGAAUAAGUAUUGGCUAACUCUGUGCCACCAGCCGCGGUAAGACAGAGGAUGCAAGCGUUAUCCGGAAUGA
rnacentral:rRNA from 1 species